UUUGACUGGAAUGUCAUAUUUGAGAGAAACAUGGAUAACCUCAGAUAUGACCAAACAGCUUUGAGGAACAAGGAUUGACUUUAUGAAACAAAUAAAGCCUUUUGGAAAUAUGGCCUGUUACCUUGUGUACAGGGUUCCCAGCAACCUUACCAGAACAACAGGAGGCCGGCUGAUAAGAGAGCAACUUGCAGACAGUUCCCCCCUCCCCUGACUAAACAUUGCACAGUUGAUGUGUGGACACCACCCCACCACUGGCAAGCCACAUGAUGCUGGUUCAAGCCACCACCCACGUUCAGACCAUGCCACCCUCUGAUGCCGCCUAUGUGGGACUGGAUGGAACCCAAAUGGCCGAGGGGGCACUUGGGCAUCGAGGGACCUAAAUACUCCCCAAACUGAUCAAAGGUGUUGCCCUGG